rnacentral:rRNA from 1 species
AGUGAACGCUGGCGGUAGGCCUAACACAUGCAAGUCGAACGGCAGCACAGUAGGAGCUUGCUCUUACGGGUGGCGAGUGGCGGACGGGUGAGGAAUACAUCGGAAUCUACUUUUUCGUGGGGGAUAACGUAGGGAAACUUACGCUAAUACGGCAUACGACCUACGGGUGAAAGCAGGGGAUCUUCGGACCUUGCGCGAUUGAAUGAGCCGAUGUCGGAUUAGCUAGUUGGCGGGGUAAAGGCCCACCAAGGCGACGAUCCGUAGCUGGUCUGAGAGGAUGAUCAGCCACACUGGAACUGAGACACGGUCCAGACUCCUACGGGAGGCAGCAGUGGGGAAUAUUGGACAAUGGGCGCAAGCCUGAUCCAGCCAUACCGCGUGGGUGAAGAAGGCCUUCGGGUUGUAAAGCCCUUUUGUUGGGAAAGAAAAGCAGCAGGUUAAUACCCCGCUGUUCUGACGGUACCCAAAGAAUAAGCACCGGCUAACUUCGUG